rnacentral:rRNA from 1 species
CCUUGACAUACUAAGAACUUUCCAGAGAUGGAUUGGUGCCUUCGGGAACUUAGAUACAGGUGCUGCAUGGCUGUCGUCAGCUCGUGUCGUGAGAGUGUUGGGUUAAGUCCCGNAACGAGCGCAACCCUUUUCCUAUUUGCCAGCGGGUCAUGCCGGGAACUUUAAGGAUACUGCCAGUGACAAACUGGAGGAAGGCGGGGACGACGUCAAGUCAUCAUGGCCCUUACGGCCAGGGCUACACACGUGCUACAAUGGUCGGUACAAAGGGUUGCUACCUCGCGAGAGGAUGCUAAUCUCAAAAAAGCCGAUCGUAGUCCGGAUCGCAGUCUGCAACUCGACUGCGUGAAGUCGGAAUCGCUAGUAAUCGCGGAUCAGAAUGCCGCGGUGAAUACGUUCCCGGGCCUUGUACACACCGCCCGUCACACCAUGGGAGUUUGUUGCACCAGAAGUAGGUAGUCUAACCGCAAGGAGGACGCUUACCACGGUGUGGCCGAUGACUGGGGUGAAGUCGUAACAAGGUAAGCGUAGAUGA